GAUGAACGCUGGCUGCAGGCUUAACACAUGCAAGUCGAGUGGCAGCAUGGGGGUUGCUUGCAACCCCUGAUGGCGACCGGCGCACGGGUGAGUAACGCGUCUCCAACCUGCCCUUCACCACGGGUUAACCCGGCGAAAUUCCGCCUAUACCCGAUUGUUGCCCCUGGAGGGCACCCGAUUUUGACGAACGUCUGGGGUGUGAAUGAGUGGGGAUGCGUCCGAUUAGUUUGCGGGGGGGGUAACGGCCAAGCGUGGCUACGGUCGGUAGUGGGACUGAGAGGAAGGUCCCCCAGACUGGAACUGCGACACGGUCCAGACUCCUACGGGAGGCAGCAGUGAGGAAUAUUGGGCAAUGGGCGUAAGCCUGAACCAGCCAAGUAGCGUGCAGGAUGACGGCCCUAGGGGUGGUAAACUGCUUGGAGGCGGGGAGAAAGUGGCCCACGUGUGGGCUUUUGCAGGUACCGCAUGAAUAAGGACCGGCUAAUUCCGUG
rnacentral:rRNA from 1 species